ACUUGCUCAUGGUCACACAGCAGGCUCCUUUUCGCCCUCUGCCGGCGGACAGUGGCAGAACCCAGCUUUCUGGUUGCUAUGGGUACCGAGGUAACGCGGUAACCAAGGAGACCAAGACGGAAACUCCCGGCAGCUAUCCGCGGCCAUCCGGCGGUGGUGACGCGAGAGGCUGGGGUCUCCAGCCUUUAGUCUGCCUGCGCGUUCACAUGCACCCACUUACUUGUUGAAGUCUACUCCUCACAAGUAAGGGCUAUGGUGCGGGGUGCCCGAUUCCUGAGAAAUCUGAAGAUGUGGAAGUUUAUUUUUUCUUCCCAAAAUCAGCAGUAGAGGGACUCAGAAGUGUUUACAAAUCAGAAUAACUUUUAGACAAUAUUAAGGUGGUAAUCAUGAACAGAAAAGAUUUUGUUGUUCUUCCAUGGGGAAAACCUGGAAAUUCUGUAAAGCUAAAAUAUAGAAAUGCUCAAGAACUGCGAAUGGAGAAAGUACAGUUAGAGUUUGAGAACCAAGAGAUGGAGAAGAAACUGCAAGAAUUCCGAUCCACAAGAAACAAAGAAAAGGAAGAUAGAGAGUGAG
rnacentral:sRNA from 1 species